GGUGCUGCACGGCUGUCGUCAGCUCGUGUCGUGAGAUGUUGGGUUAAGUCCCGCAACGAGCGCAACCCUUGCCCUUAGUUACCAUCAUUUAGUUGGGGACUCUAAGGGGACUGCCGGUGAUAAACCGGAGAAGGUGGGGACGACGUCAAGUCAUCAUGGCCCUUAUGACCGGGCUACACACGUACUACAAUGGUCGGUACAGACGGUCGCAAGCUCGCGAGAGUAAGCUAAUCCGAGAAAACCGAUCGUAGUCCGGAUCGCAGUCUGCAACUCGACUGCGUGAAGUCGGAAUCGCUAGUAAUCGCAAAUCAGAAUGUUGCGGUGAAUACGUUCCCGGGCCUU
rnacentral:rRNA from 1 species